AUGGAGCUGGCAACACUGGCAGAGGCCUGUGAACUUAUCCACGAUGGUUCUCACCACUAUUCCCAGCCUCCUAAGAAAAGCUGGAGAACCCACCCCAGGACCCCAAAUGCCCCACCAGCCCUUCUCAGUGUCUGUGUGUUAGCUCUAGUGCCAGCGAUGGACUUGGGGAAGUCUGGACAUCAACCCGGGAAACCCAGCCCUUUCCUGCUAAGACCCUGCCCAGAAUGUGAGGUGCAGCACAAGGGAAGGUGGCCUCCCAAGAAUUUGGUGCUAAAAUACGUCUUCCUCCUCCUGGCCCAAUCUCAGCCCUACCACCUCCCCCAGAUACUGCGGGGAUCUGACUCCGUGGGUGGGAAGGCAGUUCUGCUCUGCAAGCCUGCCGGUCCCAUAAGGCCCCCUUCUUCCCAGCCCCCAUCUGCAUCAGAGGCCCCGGCCCAUUCGGGGGUCCCUCCUUCGGAGACGGUGCGGGGUGGGGGAAAGGGGUGUGCCCGGGAGGCCUCCGUGUGAUCCGGUCCGGCCGGAGAAGAAAGGGAGCCCCCGGGGAGGGGGCAGCCCUGCCUGCCCCGC
rnacentral:lncRNA from 1 species